rnacentral:rRNA from 1 species
AGAGUUUGAUCCUGGCUCAGGAUAAACGCUGGCGGCGUGCUUAAUACAUGCAAGUCGAACGAAGCACUUUUGGCGGAUCCCCUCGGGGUGAAGCCGGUUGUGACUUAGUGGCGGACGGGUGAGUAACGCGUGGGUAACCUGCCUUAUACAGGGGGAUAACAGUUAGAAAUGACUGCUAAUACCCCAUAAGCGCACGAUAUCGCAUGAUGAUGUGUGAAAAGAUUUAUCGGUAUAAGAUGGACCCGCGUCUGAUUAGUUAGUUGGCGGGGUAACGGCCCAUCAAGACGACGAUCAGUAGCCGGCUUGAGAGAGUGAUCGGCCACAUUGGGACUGAGACACGGCCCAGACUCCUACGGGAGGCAGCAGUAGGGAAUAUUGCACAAUGGGGGAAACCCUGAUGCAGCGACGCCGCGUGAGUGAUUGAAGUAUUUCGGUAUGUAAAGCUCUAUCAGCAGGGAAGAUAAUGACGGUACCUGCAUAAGAAGCCCCGGCUAACUACGUGCCAGCAGCCGCGGUAAUACAGAGGCCCGUAGCGUUGUUCGGAUUUACUGGGCGUAAAGGGUACGUAGGCGGCGGGGCGUGUCGAGUGUGAAAUCUCCGGGCUCAACCCGGAAAGUGCGCUCGAAACUACCCCGCUGGAGGCCGGGAGAGGGAAGGGGAAUGCAGGGUGUAGCGGUGAAAUGCGUUGAUAUCCUGCAGAACACCGGAGGCGAAGGCGCCUUCCUGGAACGGUACUGACGCUGAGGUACGAAAGUCGGGGGAGCAAACAGGAUUAGAUACCCUGGUAGUCCCGACCCUAAACGGUGCACACUCGGGGUGGGGCCCAUUCACCGGCCCCGUCCCCCAGCGAACGCGGUAAGUGUGCCGCCUGGGGAGUACGGCCGCAAGGCUAAAACUCAAAGAAAUUGACGGGGGCCCGCACAAGCAGAGGAGCAUGUGGCUUAAUUCGAUGCAACGCGAAGAACCUUACCUGGGUUUGACAUGCAGCUGCAGGGCCUGCGAAAGCAGGCCGCCUUCGAGGGUGCUGCACAGGUGCUGCAUGGCUGUCGUCAGUUCGUGCCGUGAGGUGUUUGGUUAAGUCCACCAACGAACGCAACCCCUUAUCCGUGUUGCCAGCGCGUCAAGGCGGGGACUCGCGGAUGACUGCCCGUUCACGCGGGAGGAAGGUGGGGAUGACGUCAAGUCAGUAUGGCCCUUACGCCCAGGGCUGCACACGUGCUACAAUGGCCGGUACAGAGGGAUGCGAUGCCGCGAGGCGGAGCGAACCCCAGAGAGCCGGCCCCAGUUCGGAUUGGGGUCUGCAACCCGACCCCAUGAAGUCGGAUUUGCUAGUAACGGCGCAUCAGCUACGGCGCCGUGAAUGCGUUCCCGGGCCUUGUACACACCGCCCGUCACAUCAUGAAAGCCGUCUGCACCCGAAGUCCGGCAUUCGUCGGCCUAAGGUGUGGGUGGUGAUUGGGAUGAAGUCGUAACAAGGUAACC